CUGGGCUUUCGGUCUGCGUUUUGCAGAUACCCCCAUCUGGUUGGCCGAGCGUUUCAAAGACUGCUGAUUCAAAAGGCCAGAUGCUAGCCCGGCAUGGUACUGCAGCUUAUUUGACCAUUUGUAGGCUUGAAGAAGUUGGCUGUAAAGAGGCGUUUUGUCCUGAACAGGAUCCAGGCUCAGCAGUCCGCUGUUGUGCAAGGGAUGGUUCUCAGAUGGUUUACCAACCAGAUUGCUCAGACGCUCCAGCUCACCCAAGUCGCGGCUGACGGAGUGCAGGCUCUCCUGGAAGGCGGCCACGAAGCCCUUCUCGCGGCCUUCCAGGGUCUCCUUGUUCCGCAUCCCAUCCUUCAGGCAGUCGAAGACCCGCG
rnacentral:lncRNA from 1 species